UCUUCGGAUAUAGAGACCGGCGCACGGGUGCGUAACGCGUAUGCAAUCUACCUUUUACAGAGGGAUAGCCCAGAGAAAUUUGGAUUAAUACCUCAUAGUAUAGCUCUACCGCAUGGUAGUACUAUUAAAGUCACAACGGUAAAAGAUGAGCAUGCGUCCCAUUAGCUAGUUGGUAAGGUAACGGCUUACCAAGGCAACGAUGGGUAGGGGUCCUGAGAGGGAGAUCCCCCACACUGGUACUGAGACACGGACCAGACUCCUACGGGAGGCAGCAGUGAGGAAUAUUGGACAAUGGGCGCAAGCCUGAUCCAGCCAUGCCGCGUGCAGGAUGACGGUCCUAUGGAUUGUAAACUGCUUUUGUACGAGAAGAAACACUGCUUCGUGAAGCAGCUUGACGGUAUCGUAAGAAUAAGGAUCGGCUAACUCCGUGCCAGCAGCCGCGGUAAUACGGAGGAUCCAAGCGUUAUCCGGAAUCAUUGGGUUUAAAGGGUCCGUAGGCGGUUUAGUAAGUCAGUGGUGAAAGCCCAUCGCUCAACGGUGGAACGGCCAUUGAUACUGCUGAACUUGAAUUAUUAGGAAGUAACUAGAAUAUGUAGUGUAGCGGUGAAAUGCUUAGCGACUUACAUGGAAUACCAAUUGCGAAGGCAG
rnacentral:rRNA from 1 species